rfam:TPA: Bos taurus chromosome 18, whole genome shotgun sequence.
UCCUUGGUGGUCCAGUGGCUAAGAUUCUGCAUUCUCAACGCAAGGGGCCCAGGUUCAAAUCCUGGUCAGGGAA